rnacentral:rRNA from 1 species
UGAGUAACGCGUGGGCAACCUGCCUCAGUUCAGGGGGAUACCAGUUGGAAACGACUGUUAAUACCGCAUAAGCGCACGGUUCCGCAUGGAACAGUGUGAAAAGCUCCGGCAGAAUGAGAUGGGCCCGCGUCUGAUUAGCUAGUUGGUGAGGUAACGGCCCACCAAGGCGACGAUCAGUAGCCGACCUGAGAGGGUGACCGGCCACAUUGGGACUGAGACACGGCCCAAACUCCUACGGGAGGCAGCAGUGGGGAAUAUUGCACAAUGGAGGAAACUCUGAUGCAGCGACGCCCGCGUGAGUGAAGAAGUAUUUCGGUAUGUAAAGCUCUAUCAGCAGGGAAGAAGAUGACGGUACCUGCACAAGAAGCCCCGACUAACUACGUGCCAGCAGCUGC